AUACGGAGGAUGCGAGCGUUAUCCGGAUUUAUUGGGUUUAAAGGGAGCGUAGGUGGGAUAUUAAGUCAGCUGUGAAAGUUUGGGGCUCAACCUUAAAAUUGCAGUUGAUACUGGUUUCCUUGAGUACGGUACAGGUGGGCGGAAUUGUGGUGUAGCGGUGAAAUGCUUAGAUAUCACGAAGAACUCCGAUCGCGAAGGCAGCUCACCGGGCCGGAACUGACACUGAUGCUCGAAAGUGCGGGUAUCAAACAGGAUUAGAUACCCUGGUAGUCCGCACAGUAAACGAUGAAUACUCGCUGUUUGCGAUACACUGUAAGCGGCCAAGCGAAAGCGUUAAGUAUUCCACCUGGGGAGUACGCCGGCAACGGUGAAACUCAAAGGAAUUGGCGGGG
rnacentral:rRNA from 1 species